rnacentral:misc_RNA from 1 species
CCCAUCUCGCCUCCAUAUCACUUCCAAUCCAUUGUCCAUGGUACUAGCGAGAAUCUGUAGAUCCUAAACUCCAUUUUCCUUAAUCAAUACCAUAACGUUCCAUUCAGACGUCAUGAUGUGAUAAUCUCCUUAAGAGUUGCAGCAGAACAAAAACAGAUUUAUAUGAAGCUCCAUUAUGCUCCAAUAUGCAAACCCUUUCUUUAUUAAUUUCAAAGUUAACUUUAUUUCUUAAAUUUUACUAAACCCUUCACCUUUACUCGCUACCCAAACUAGAGAGAACAUUUUACUCUGUUUUUAUUUUCCCUCUCUACCUUCCUUUCAAAUUCCCAUUUACAUGGAAUAAAGAUUUCUCACUCAUCAAUUUGUGCAAUUAGUCCCAUUUUAGCAGAAGUAAAGUUGUGAAUAACUUUUUUCGCUGCACCUAAAGGCUUUUUAACUAGGACUCUGCAAAUAGUAAACUAGUAGAGAGAGCAAGUCUAGUCUUGAAGCUGUCAAGUAUAGUAAGCUUCCAAGAUUAUUUCCAUGCUAAUUAAUGAUCAUCUCCAUUAAUUUAAUGAAAGCAACAUAAAAUGUAUAAGAAGAAAAGAAUUGUUGGCAAAAGUGAAUUAAUUAGAAAUCCAUUUAAAGCAAUAGAAGUCAUUCUUUUAUUAAAUGAAGCUGAAUGCUGCAUUGAGUUUAUAAUGAAAUGUGCUUUUGAGUUGAUCAUCCCUAAGCCAUUUUGUACAUCUCAUUGUUCCAAAUUACGAUUACGUGCAAUUGGAAGGGGAAAUUGGAAAACAAAUUCUAUUGGAUGGAAUCGCAGAUGCAGUGCACGUGGAAAGGCAGUAUAUAAUUACAACAGGACUAUCCAAAAAGAAAAACAGCAAUGUGAAAGAGACAUAUUUAUGAGAAAGGCCAAAGAGUAACAACUUGAACAU